GGUAAAGGUGAUUAAAGACUUCACUGAUGUUGCAAAUAGUUGCUCAACUGGUUAAUAAUCCGGUAUACACAAUUGAAGCCGUAUUUAAUUAAAAUAGCCAUCUAUAUAUCAUACCUAAUGUAUAUAUACUGUUGAUAGGACAUUAACUGCAGUAUUUGUCCUGAGAUAACAUUGCUUAUGGAUUUUUUGUGUUAAAAGCUCAAAUAUCAGAGAGAGAGAGAAAAAUUCAUCCUAGCAGGGACUAGAAUCAUAAACUUAUUGCAGUGCUCAGGUAAACUACAGCUCAACAAAAAAUGCUAAAAGUUGGGACAGAAACUGGCCAUGGGCCAAAUAAAGAUGGUAACGAAAGCUAUAUGCACAGUACACAGAAUAAAACACAAAAAGAAAGGAUAAGUGAUAUAAACAGUCAUAAAGAGGAAAAGAGUGCUUAGGUAUAUCAGAAGUGUUGUUGAGUUUUGAAGGAUAUGGUAUCCCCAGCGCUAACAACUGACAUGGAUACUUUAUUUCAUGCUGCGACAAUUCUGAGUUUCAGAAAAUAAAAAUGUUUCUGAAAUUUA